rnacentral:rRNA from 1 species
AACGAACGCUGGCGGCAUGCCUAACACAUGCAAGUCGAACGUGAUCCGGGGCUUCGGCUCCGGUGAAAGUGGCGGACGGGUGAGUAACGCGUGGGAACCUGCCCAGUGGUAGGGGAUAACCGCGGGAAACUGCGGCUAAUACCCUAUGCGCCCUAUGGGGCAAAGAUUUAUCGCCAUUGGAGGGGCCCGCGUCGGAUUAGGUAGUUGGUGAGGUAACGGCUCACCAAGCCUUCGAUCCGUAGCUGGCUGAGAGGAUGAUCAGCCACACUGGGACUGAGACACGGCCCAGACUCCUACGGGAGGCAGCAGUGGGGAGUAUUGGACAAUGGGGGCAACCCUGAUCCAGCAAUGCCGCGUGAGUGAUGAAGGCCUUAGGGUUGUAAAGCUC